AAUAGUAAAUACUGAAACUACUUCCGGAAGUGGCGCCAAAUUCCUGUACCAACUUGUAUGAAUGUAAACAGCCAGCGAAAGUUGUUUAAAUUGCAGUUCAAGAUAACGAUACUACUUUUAGAAACACAUCUGCUAACAAAUUGACUCGUAGGCACUUUUUUCGCUGCGAAACCUAGCCGUGAAGAUUGAAACUGCCGGUCUUUAGCAGGCACACCAGAACUACGACGAAGAAGGUAUGAAACAGACUUCCACCAGAGAUACAGUAACUAUAUAAUGACGAGAUUGGUCUCCGAUAAGCAGGCGGUCUGCCAAAAAACCUUUGAAACUAGAUGUAAUUUAUAUGAAUGUUCCACUGGGUAGAGGUGAGGUCAAAUGUAGGAUCAGAACCAUUUUGAUAGGUGUAUGGCAGAAGAAGAGUCAGUCCACAUCUACCGUAUUAUCACUUUGUUGUGUAACGUUCUGUAAAACUGUUUCAGAUCAUAGCACUGAGGGUGCAGCGCGAGUUUUGCAUGAGCUGCACUCAGAGGUCAGCGGCCUCAAUGUAACCCUCAAUGUGGCACCUGAUGAGCUGCUUGUAGUUAAUAAUAGCUAUGUGAUUCAUUAGUAUACAUAUUUAGAGAAUGAUUUACAUAACUGGCUUGUUGUGCAUGCCCAGGGCCAGGUGAAGGAGCAGCUGAUGCGCCAACAGGCAGUGGCAAGUAGCCUAGUGGUUAGAGCGUUGGACUUGUAACCGGAAGGUUGCAAGAUUGAAUCCCCGAACUGACAAGGUAAACAGGUAAACAUCUGUCGUUCUGCCCCUGAACAAGGCAGUUAACCUACUGUUCCUAGGCCGUCAUUGAAAAUAAGAAUUUGUUAUUAACUGACUUGCCUAGUUAAAGGUAAAAAAAGGAGAAUGAGGUGAUGAGCUUCAUAAAGAUGUGUAUGGUGCUGAAGCAGAGGACCACAGAGGACAUACAGAGACACUAUGAAAAAUAUGUCUACAAAGCACCUAAGAACACACAGAAACAGACAGACUUUGUCUCUCGCUCAGAGCCGAACCGCCAGGAGGCAGAAGCUUCAGAGAAAGAGGAUGACACCGAGUGAGUAGAGGAGGACCAGGAGGCAGGAAAGGAGGAACACCUCCCCUCAGUGACCCCUUUGAAGAUACCUCCAUUGACCCCAUGCGCAUCCCCCAGCUCUCUAACUUCGACCUGUCGGAGAUCCACCUGAAGAGGGUACAAUUAGAACCUGACACUGAUUUGUGGCAGUGUUUUCCAGCGCUGAGGCCCACACGCCCAUGAUGACCCUUCCUCCGCCCUCUCUGGUCCUGGCCAUGCCCAAAACACCAAGAUGGCAGCCAAUCAGUCUGUCUGAUCCUUGAGAUCAGAGUUAAGAGUUAUGUUUUAAUGACCCUGAACCUGUUUACAGAAGAAAAUGUUUGCUGUGAAUGUGGAUGCUGUAUAUAACUUAUUUUUAGAUCUGUCUUUAUUUUACAAAAUGUUCUUGUACAAAGAUUUCUGAUUGAGAAGGCUGCAUUGAGAAAGCCUCGGUCCUCUCGUAAACUGUAGACUACACUUUUUUGGAGUUGGAGUGGGCCGAGUCAGGAGCGUCUGUCUGCUCGCAAGGCCUGCUACGGAGAAGCGGUUGCCAGAUUGGAAAACCUGAUGGGCCGUGGGACAAUCUGUCAUUCUACACAACAUCUACUGAUCGUUGCACACCUGUGCUGAAAGACCUCUAAAAACCAGCAUUAUGUAUCUGUUACUGUGCCUGCUCUUUACUCAAUGCCAUCCUGGAUUAAUUAGACUGAAUGAUCAAUGGGUCUGAAGAUCAAAGCCCAUCCACAUCCCCUUUUCUGCAGGGAGAGCGUGACCCAAGCCGCACUGAGGUCCCAGUAUUUGAGAUCCUGUACAUCAACAGGCUCCUUAGCACCAGAAAGAUGUGUAUUACUGUCAGUCUGUCAACAUGUCUGUUUAUUUAUGGAGGCAUGGACCAUAGACAUAACUACAAAUUGCACUCAAAUAUAGUGAGUAACUGUCAUGUUGCAGGGUGAGACACACACACAGGCAGAUGAAGAACAAGAUCACUUGGAACUUCCAACCUCCAAUAGAGGUGCCAAUCAAGCCAGGUUAUAUAAUGUGCCAGAGAUCUCAAUCAUUGGCUGUACAGUGGAAAAAUCUACACCAAAGAUGCCAAGCCUAGAGUCCUUUCUGGGCAACUCUUUGCCCUUUGUAAGCUGAAACUGCUAUAAAGUCACUUGAGUGCUUACUUAUAGUAAUAGUUAAGUUUGAGUAUCUAUUUUGCCUCGCUGUCUCUUCUCUCCCUGACUGUAGAGGGGUGGUGGUGGAGCCCGUGGAGAGCAGAGCAUGGGGCAGAAAAGCCCCCUCUCAGUCCUGGAGCCAGACGGUUCCACCCAGGCAUUCAACCUGGGUACCCUGCGGGUGAGGGGAUUACCCUGAGCCAUUUACUCCUAAAAUGCCGGACCUAAGCUCUGUCACACAGGACCUCUUUAAGCUCAUUUCCCAGAGCAAGAAACUCCCCACAGCAGUAGUUCAGCCACAUUACAUACCUUCAAUCCUCCACACAGCAACAGGGAAGAACAGGUCAACUCUGAUAAUGCCAACAAGAAAGGCGGUGUCUGGCCAUGGUGUCAGAAAGUCUUCCCUCCAGGGCGGUGUCUGGCCAUGGUGUCAAAGUCUUCCCUCCAGGGCGGUGUCUGGCCAUGGUGUCAGAAAGUAUUCCAAGCUACGUGAGACGGAUUCCUCUGUUCAGCCUCAACCAGGCCAUUCAGAAGAUCAAUGUAUUUUGGGACUCUGUUGCCUCAGGUGAUAAUGCAGGCCCUGCAGGGUUUCUGAUGGAGGAGCUGAAGAGGAUCACGGGGGUGGGCACCAAAGCCCCCAUGUACUUCCUGUGUCUGACUGAGCUGAAGAGGCUGGAGCAUGUGCAGGGAGUAGGUACCAGCGCCAUGUAUAAAAUCCUGUCAGACGCAUACCUGAUCGGAAUUACAAUGACAUUCCCUACCUUAAACCUCCCAAAUGACUCGACACUAGUGAGCGAGGUCCCAUUUACUGACCAUCCUUUGAGUAGGCCUUGGCUUUUUGUUGUUACAUUACAGCCUUAUUAUAAAAUUGAUACAAUUAUUUGUUUUCCUCAUCAACACACAAUACCCCACAAUAACAAAGCGAAAACAGGUUAAAAUAAAAAACUGAAAUACCUUCUUUACAUGAA